ensembl:misc_RNA Metazoa_SRP Metazoan signal recognition particle RNA
GGGCAUAGUGGUAAAUAUGCCUAUAAUCUCUGGUACCUGGGAAGCUGAGGUUGGUGGGUUGCUUGAGCUUAAGAGUUCUGAGAUACAAUGGGCUGAACUGAUUGGAUGUCUACACUAAGUAGAGCAUUAAUAUGAUGAGCUCCUGGGAGCAGGGGAGUACCAGGUUGCCUAAGGAAGAAUGAAUUGGCCUAGGUGGGAAACAGAGCAAGUCAAAGGAGCUAUAUGCCACUUGGAGUGAGAUCGCAGGUGGAACCCUGUCCUUACAAUCUGUGUGGGAUACUAAGAAUCUGGCUUUC